CGGUUCCUUAAGUCUGAUGUGAAAGCCCCCGGCUCAACCGGGGAGGGUCAUUGGAAACUGGGGAACUUGAGUGCAGAAGAGGAGAGUGGAAUUCCACGUGUAGCGGUGAAAUGCGUAGAGAUGUGGAGGAACACCAGUGGCGAAGGCGACUCUCUGGUCUGCAACUGACGCUGAGGAGUGAAAGCGUGGGGAGCGAACAGGAUUAGAUACCCUGGUAGUCCACGCCGUAAACGAUGAGUGCUAAGUGUUAGGGGGUUUCCGCCCCUUAGUGCUGCAGCUAACGCAUUAAGCACUCCGCCUGGGGAGUACGGUCGCAAGACUGAAACUCAAAGGAAUUGACGGGGGCCCGCACAAGCGGUGGAGCAUGUGGUUUAAUUCGAAGCAACGCGAAGAACCUUACCAGGUCUUGACAUCCUCUGACAAUCCUAGAGAUAGGACGUCCCCUUCGGGGGCAGAGUGACAGGUGGUGCAUGGUUGUCGUCAGCUCGUGUCGUGAGAUGUUGGGUUAAGUCCCGCAACGAGCGCAACCCUUGAUCUUAGUUGCCAGCAUUCAGUUGGGCACUCUAAGGUGACUGCCGGUGACAAACCGGAGGAAGGUGGGGAUGACGUCAAAUCAUCAUGCCCCUUAUGACCUGGGCUACACACGUGCUACAAUGGACAGAACAAAGGGCAGCGAAACCGCGAGGUUAAGCCAAUCCCACAAAUCUGUUCUCAGUUCGGAUCGCAGUCUGCAACUCGACUGCGUGAAGCUGGA
rnacentral:rRNA from 1 species